AUAUACAGCAAUAGAAGUUUGCAAAGGUGAUGGGAAGACUGGAGGAACGACAAGGAGCUGAAAGCUCUCUUAUACUUGCAUUAAGGAGGCAAUUAAACACACCUGAGCAAUUACAAACACCUGUUAAGCCAUGCGUCCCAAACAUUAUGGUGCCCUGAAAUGGGGGGACUUUGUACAAA